UUUGGGUCUACAAUAAACUUCAGUAAAUCAUCAAAGUCUGUCUUCUAAUAACAGUAUACCACUUCAUGUAUAUUCCUUUCACAUGAAGUGUUUACUGGAGGUCAUAAAAUACUUCCAAACUCUUGAGCCUGGGCUCUUCAUAACAUGAAAGUGUACCUGUUAUCCAGUGUUGCCUCACUCAAUCGGAAAUGGAUGAAAUAAUGUUCCAGCAGAUCUGAUGCAACUGGCGGAUGCAUUCAGCAAUACCUUUAUAAUCACAAUAAAUGUCUUUGCAAUAUCA